GGGGAUUUAGCUCAGUGGUAGAGCGCUUGCCUAGCAAGCUCAGGACCCUGGGUUCAGUUCCCAGCUCUG
rnacentral:tRNA from 1 species